GACGAGUUUGAUCAUGGCUCAGAACGAACGCUGGCGGCAUGCCUAACACAUGCAAGUCGAACGAGACUUCGGUCUAGUGGCGGACGGGUGAGUAACGCGUAGGAACCUGCCAAGCAGUGGGGAAUAACAGCUGGAAACGGCUGCUAAUACCGCAUACGCUUUUCGGGGAAAGAUUUAUCGCUGUUUGAGGGUCCUGCGUUCGAUUAGCUAGUUGGUGAGGUAACGGCCCACCAAGGCGACGAUCGAUAGCUGGUCUGAGAGGAUGAUCAGCCACACUGGGACUGAGACACGGCCCAGACUCCUACGGGAGGCAGCAGUGGGGAAUAUUGGACAAUGGGGGAAACCCUGAUCCAGCAAUGCCGCGUGCGUGAAGAAGGCCUUAGGGUUGUAAAGCGCUUUCAGGGGGGAAGAUAAUGACUGUACCCCCAGAAGAAGCCCCGGCUAACUCCGUG
rnacentral:rRNA from 1 species